rnacentral:rRNA from 1 species
AAGUGACAGGUGGUGCAUGGUUGUCGUCAGCUCGUGUCGUGAGAUGUUGGGUUAAGUCCCGCAACGAGCGCAACCCUUGAACUUAGUUGCCAUCAUUCAGUUGGGCACUCUAAGUUGACUGCCGGUGACAAACCGGAGGAAGGUGGGGAUGACGUCAAAUCAUCAUGCCCCUUAUGAUUUGGGCUACACACGUGCUACAAUGGACAAUACAAAGGGCAGCGAAACCGCGAGGUCAAGCAAAUCCCAUAAAGUUGUUCUCAGUUCGGAUUGUAGUCUGCAACUCGACUACAUGAAGCUGGAAUCGCUAGUAAUCGUAGAUCAGCAUGCUACGGUGAAUACGUUCCCGGGUCUUGUACACACCGCCCGUCACACCACGAGAGUUUGUAACACCCGAAGCCGGUGGAGUAACCAUUUUGGAGCUAGCCGUCGAAGGUGGGACAAAUGAUUGGGGUGAAGUCGUAACAAGGUAGCCGUAUCGGAAGGUGCGGCUGGAUCACCUCCUUU